rnacentral:lncRNA from 1 species
CUUUCAGAUUAAAAAAAUCGCCCAGUUGUCGCUAUUAUUCCACCUAAGGUUGAUUUUUGACUCAUUUCUAAAUGUCUAAUGCUUAAUCAGUCUGUAGUAUUCCUAGUUGAUAACUUUUCGAUUGAUUUUGUAUUAUUACCUUCACAGAGGUUGUUGUUAAUAAAGUAUAGUUAUUAUUAAACCAACAGUUCUUAGUGGUGAUGUUUAAAAC